rnacentral:rRNA from 1 species
UACGGAGGGUGCAAGCGUUAUCCGGAUUCACUGGGUUUAAAGGGUGCGUAGGUGGCUUGGUAAGUCAGUGGUGAAAGCCCGGAGCUCAACUCCGGAACUGCCAUUGAUACUGCUUAGCUUGAAUCAGGUCGAGGUGGAUGGAAUAUUACAUGUAGCGGUGAAAUGCUUAGAUAUGUAAUAGAACACCGAUUGCGAAGGCAGUUCACUAGGCCUGUAUUGACACUGAGGCACGAAGCGUGGGGAUCAAACAGG